rnacentral:tRNA from 1 species
GGGAAUGUGGCUUAGUGGUAAAGUGAUUGCCUAGCAUGCAUGAAGUCCUGGGUUCGAUUCCGCAGUACCA